GCGAUACUUUUUUUUUGUGCCAAAAUCACUUAACUCGGGCCAUUAUUUUAGGAAGGUUGUUAGUCUACUAAUUAUAGAGGAAACAGAGGAAAGAACAGCUUACCCUGUUGAGGAAAGAAAGAAAGUAAGGUGCCGAGGUUCAUUAGACAGCAAGAAGUGCAGCGCAACGCACAAUAAAUGUGCACGUGUUGUACAGGGGAAAAUACGAUUGUGUUUUUAUUUUUACUUUUGUUGUGCUUUGCAUGCUUGGGGCUUGUCUUUUCUUUUUUCCCCUUUAACAAUCCAAGCGCACUGGACUGAAGGUGGUUGUCUAAGGGGCGGAGCGCACUAAUUGGCCGCACAUACAGGUGUCAGCAGAGGCUGAUUGAGGCCGGAAUAAAAGGAGCCUGGAUGGAAGAGGAAGAAGACUGAUUCUGUGGGCCACGGAGACUGACAGGCUGCGGAGUGAGGGGCAGGCGGAACCCGUAUGUCAGGCAGAGAACACCGGGAGUUGAACAGACGGCCCAGUACAGAGGAUCAGGGCAGAGGAAAACCUCUGCCCGCGCCUAUGGAUUGGGCCGAGGAGGGGUGUGGCACGCCGAAGAGUGGAGCGGUGCCGGAGCGUCACGCAGUCAGCUGUGGAUCGGCAAAAGAGAGCGCUGCAGACGGAUCGUCAGCAUAAGAAGCGGAGCCCAACCCGUGGUCUCGAAUUGAUGACUUUUGUUUAAAGACAAUUAUUGAUUCCGGGAUUUUAUUGAGAAAAAGAGGACGGUUUUAUUGAGUCACUAUUUGUGACUUUUUUUUUGUAAUAAAAUACCUUGCGCCUGA